rnacentral:rRNA from 1 species
UACGUAGGGACCAAGCGUUGUUCGGAUUUACUGGGCGUAAAGCGUGCGCAGGCGGUUAUGUAAGACAGGUGUGAAAUCCCCGGGCUUAACCUGGGAACUGCAUUUGUGACUGCAUAGCUAGAGUACGGUAGAGGGGGAUGGAAUUCCGCGUGUAGCAGUGAAAUGCGUAGAUAUGCGGAGGAACACCGAUGGCGAAGGCAAUCCCCUGGACCUGUACUGACGCUCAUGCACGAAAGCGUGGGGAGCAAACAGG